rnacentral:tRNA from 1 species
CCCCUUGUAGCUCAAUUGGUAGAGCAACGGAUUCUUAAUCCGUAGGUCGCAGGUUCGAUCCCUGCCGGGGGGA